rnacentral:lncRNA from 1 species
CGCAGGUUAAAAGGCGUAAAUCCGAGGUCGCGGCCAGAAGGAGCGCUGCUCCUCCGAGGAGGCGCGGCGACGACUGCAGGCUCCUGCAUGUUCACACUAAUGAGCAGCAGGUGCAGGUGGAGGAGGUCAGCUGAUGCAGACGGCAGGAACAGGGGCAGUCGGGACGCCUGCUCCUCCUGCUCCUCCUGCUCCUCCUUCUCCUCCCUGCUCCUGCUCCUGCUCCUGCUUCUACUCCUGCUCCCUGCUCCUCCUCCCCACCCUCUGCUCCUGCUUCUACUCCUGCUCCUGCUCCUGCUUCUGCUCCUGCUUCUGCUUCUGCUUCUGCUUCUGCUUCUGCUUCUGCUUCUGCUUCUGCUUCUACUCCUGCUCCUGCUUUUACUCCUGCUCCUGCUCCUGCUCCUGCUUCUACUCCUGCUCCUGCUCCUGCUUCUACUCCUGCUCCUGCUCCUGCUCCUGCUCCUGCUCCUGCUUCUGCUCCUGCUUCUGCUUCUGCUUCUGCUUCUACUCCUGCUCCUGCUCCUGCUUCUACUCCUGCUCCUGCUCCUGCUCCUGCUCCUGCUUCUACUCCUGCUCCUGCUUCUACUCCUGCUCCUGCUCCUGCUCCUGCUUCUGCUUCUGCUUCUGCUUCUACUCCUGCUCCUGCUCCUGCUCCUGCUUCUGCUUCUGCUUCUACUCCUGCUCCUGCUCCUGCUCCUGCUCCUGCUUCUGCUCCUGCUCCUGCUCCUGCUCCUGCUUCUACCCCUGCUCCUGCUCCUCCUCCCACCCUCUGCUCUGCUUCUGCUUCUGCUUCUGCUUCUGCUUCUGCUUCUGCUUCUGCUUCUACUCCUCCUCCCCACCCUCUGCUCCUGCUUCUGCUUCUGCUUCUGCUUCUACUCCUGCUCCUGCUCCUGCUUCUACUCCUGCUCCUGCUCCUGCUCCUGCUUCUACUCCUGCUCCUGCUCCUGCUCCUGCUCCUGCUUCUACUCCUGCUCCUGCUCCUGCUUCUGCUUCUACUUCUGCUCCUGCUCCUGCUCCUCCUCCCCACCCUCUGCUCCUGCUUCUACUGCUGCUCCUGCUCCUGCUCCUGCUCCUGCUUCUGCUUCUGCUUCUACUCCUGCUCCUGCUCCUGCUCCUGCUCCUGCUUCUACUCCUGCUCCUGCUUCUGCUCCUGCUUCUGCUUCUGCUUCUACUCCUGCUCCUGCUCCUGCUUCUACUCCUGCUCCUGCUCCUGCUCCUGCUUCUACUCCUGCUCCUGCUCCUGCUUCUACUCCUGCUCCUGCUCCUGCUUCUGCUCCUGCUCCUGCUUCUGCUUCUACUCCUGCUCCUGCUCCUGCUCCUGCUCCUGCUCCUGCUCCUGCUCCUGCUCCUGCUUCUGCUUCUACUUCUGCUCCUGCUCCUGCUCCUCCUCCCCACCCUCUGCUCCUGCUUCUGCUUCUGCUUCUGCUUCUGCUUCUACUCCUGCUCCUGCUCCUGCUUCUACUCCUGCUCCUGCUCCUGCUCCUGCUCCUGCUCCUGCUUCUACUCCUGCUCCUGCUCCUGCUCCUGCUCCUGCUUCUACUCCUGCUCCUGCUCCUGCUCCUGCUUCUGCUUCUACUUCUACUUCUGCUCCUGCUCCUGCUCCUCCUCCCCACCCUCUGCUCCUGCUUAUACUGCUGCUCCUGCUCCUGCUCCUGCUCCUGCUUCUGCUUCUGCUUCUGCUUCUGCUUCUGCUCCUGCUCCUGCUCCUGCUCCUGCUCCUGCUUUUACUACUGCUCCUUCUCCCUCCCUGCUCCAGCGUGAGUCUGACGGAAGCCUGGAUCCAG